CUGGGCUCCUGCUCCAGGGGCACGAUGUGAUCCACCAUCAAGGAGGGACACCAAUAAGGCAUCCGAUAAGAUAAGUCUUAUAAAAUAUAUAGACUUGUCUUAUCAAGGACACCUUCCACCGGCGUCCUCUUCCCGAGAUCACAUGGAGGCUCCAUAGAGAAGAGAGCAGGAGGAAGAGGAAAAGCAAGAGGGUGACUUCCUGUUUGUCCCUGCUUAUAUAUGGGUCUGCCUGCUAUGUCACUUCCUGCCUAUAUCACAUGACUUCUUUUUACUAAUUUUCCCAGAAUACUCCUCAACUCCUAGUCCCACCUAACUUGUUGCCUCAUUGGCCAAACAGU
rnacentral:lncRNA from 1 species